UGCAUUUAUUAGAUAAAAACCAAUGCAUGCUUUUAUAGUAUGAAUGUUGGUGAUUUACAAUAACUUAGCAAAUCGCAUAGUGUAAACAGGCGAUAAAUCAUUCAAGUUUCUGACCUAUCAGCUUUCGACGGUAUGGUAUUGGCUUACCGUGGCAGUGACGGUUAACGGGGGAUUAGGGUUCGAUUCCGGAGAGGGAGCCUGAGAAACGGCUACCACAUCUAAGGAAGGCAGCAGGCGCGCAAAUUACCCAAUUCUAACAGCAUAAGAGAGGUAGUGACAAGAAAUAACAGUACAAGGCAGUUAAAAUGCUUUGUAAUUGGAAUGAUAGAAAUUUAAACACUUUUUAGAGUAUCAAUUGGAGGGCAAGUCUGGUGCCAGCAGCCGCGGUAAUUCCAGCUCCAAUAGCGUAUAUUAAAAUUGUUGCAGUUAAAAAGCUCGUAGUUGAAUUUCUGUUAAAAAUAACCGGUCUGCUUUUAAUAAAAGUAGUAUCUUGGUGUGUUUUUAGCAAUAAUGUCCUUUGAAAUGUUUUUUACUUUAUUGUAAUAAAUUAUAUUCAGGAUUUUUACUUUGAGAAAAUUAGAGUGUUUCUAGCAGGCUAAUGCUUUGAAUACUGCAGCAUG
rnacentral:rRNA from 1 species